UGAAAGUUGACUUACAACAAUGGCUUUAGUGGCGGACUGGUGAGUAACACGUAAGCAACCUGCCUAUCAGAGGGGAACAACAGUUAGAAAUGACUGCUAAUACCGCAUAUACCUAAGUAUCGCAUGGUACAAUAGGGAAAGGAGCAAUCUGCUGAUAGAUGGGCUUGCGUCUGAUUAGAUAGUUGGUGGGGUAACGGCCUACCAAGUCAACGAUCAGUAGCCGGACUGAGAGGUUGAACGGCCACAUUGGGACUGAGAUACGGCCCAGACUCCUACGGGAGGCAGCAGUCGGGAAUAUUGCGCAAUGGAGGAAACUCUGACGCAGUGACGCCGCGUGCAGGAAGAAGGUUUUCGGAUUGUAAACCUCUGUCUUCAGGGACGAAAAAAAGACGGUACCUGAGGAGGAAGCUCCGGCUAACUACGUGCCAGCAGCCGCGGUAAUACGUAGGGAGCGAGCGUUGUCCGGAAUUACUGGGUGUAAAGGGAGCGUAGGCGGGAUCGCAAGUCAGAUGUGAAAACUAUGGGCUUAACCCAUAAACUGCAUUUGAAACUGUGGUUCUUGAGUGAAGUAGAGGUAAGCGGAAUUCCUAGUGUAGCGGUGAAAUGCGUAGAUAUUAGGAGGAACAUCAGUGGCGAAGGCGGCUUACUGGGCUUUAACUGACGCUGAGACUCGAAAGCGUGUGGAGCAAACAGGAUUAGAUACCCUGGUAGUCCACGCCGUAAA
rnacentral:rRNA from 1 species